CCGCUCACCCGUUUCCCCUCGCUAGAGGAGGGGAGGCGGAGCCCCGGGGUUGGCUGAGCUUCUGCGCAUGCCCAGAUUCUGCCCAGCCCAGGGACCUCGACUUUCAACGGGAGAAAUUCAGAGACACAUUCAGGGCUCAGCCGGUAGAUGUGCUGAGAAUCUUCGGUAGACAACUGUCGAAGUACGGCGGACAAACUUUAAAGAUUUCCAGAAGUUAAGGAAAGAGAUGCAAAAGCAGAGAAAAGGCGACUUGUCUUUUCAGUGUUGCAUUACUGUGUGGCGUAAAACAUCUUCUAAAAAGCUCCUGUGGCCGGGCACGGUGGCUCACGUCUGUAAUCCCAGCACUUUGGGAGGCCGAAGCGGGCGAAUCACUUGAGGUCAGUAGUUCGAGACCAGCCCGCCCAAAAAGCGAAACCCCCGUCUCUACUAAAAAUACAAAAAAGUCAGCCUGGCAUGGUGGCGGGCGCCUGUAAUCCCAGCUACUCGGGAGGCUGAGGCAGGAGAAUCGCUUGAACCCGAGAGAUGGAGGCUGUAGUGAGCCGAGAUCGCACCGCUGCACUCCAGCCAGGUCAAAAGAGUGAAACUCCAUCUCAAAACAAAAAUAAAAAAGCUCCUGUAGACCCUAGAAUACCACAGAAAAGAAAAGUUCUAGGAAAAAGCCCAGCCCCAGAAAAACAAAAACCAAAACAUUUAGAUCCAGAAAUGCCUGAGUGAAGAUGAACUUUGGUGAACUCCCCUUACAAUCCUGCUAAAAUCCCCACCCAGGGAAGAGCUUAUUCACCAUUUUCUAUACAUGCAACAUGUGUAGAAGCAUGAUCGGCAAUUGUGUCUUCGCUGCCUUUACUCCACCUGUACAUACAAUGACUGAGCUAACCAGCCCAAUAAAAGCACUGUUUUCACUGUU